UACAGAGGUCCCAAGCGUUGUUCGGAUUCACUGGGCGUAAAGGGUGCGUAGGUGGUGAGGUAAGUCGGAUGUGAAAGCUCGGAGCUCAACUCCGAAAUGGCAUUGGAAACUACCUUGCUCGAGGGUUGGAGGGGGGACUGGAAUGCUUGGUGUAGCAGUGAAAUGCGUAGAGAUGCGGAGGAACACCGAUGGCGAAGGCAGCCCCCUGGGCUAACACUGACGCUCAGGCACGAAAGCGUGGGGAGCAAACAGG
rnacentral:rRNA from 1 species